rnacentral:rRNA from 1 species
GGGCGUGCGGCGUGCUAAUACAUGCAAGUCGAGCGAAUGGAUUAAGAGCUUGCUCUUAUGAAGUUAGCGGCGGACGGGUGAGUAACACGUGGGUAACCUGCCCAUAAGACUGGGAUAACUCCGGGAAACCGGGGCUAAUACCGGAUAACAUUUUGAACCGCAUGGUUCGAAAUUGAAAGGCGGCUUCGGCUGUCACUUAUGGAUGGACCCGCGUCGCAUUAGCUAGUUGGUGAGGUAACGGCUCACCAAGGCAACGAUGCGUAGCCGACCUGAGAGGGUGAUCGGCCACACUGGGACUGAGACACGGCCCAGACUCCUACGGGAGGCAGCAGUAGGGAAUCUUCCGCAAUGGACGAAAGUCUGACGGAGCAACGCCGCGUGAGUGAUGAAGGCUUUCGGGUCGUAAAACUCUGUUGUUAGGGAAGAACAAGUGCUAGUUGAAUAAGCUGGCACCUUGACGGUACCUAACCAGAAAGCCACGGCUAACUACGUGCCAGCAGCCGCGGUAAUACGUAGGUGGCAAGCGUUAUCCGGAAUUAUUGGGCGUAAAGCGCGCGCAGGUGGUUUCUUAAGUCUGAUGUGAAAGCCCACGGCUCAACCGUGGAGGGUCAUUGGAAACUGGGAGACUUGAGUGCAGAAGAGGAAAGUGGAAUUCCAUGUGUAGCGGUGAAAUGCGUAGAGAUAUGGAGGAACACCAGUGGCGAAGGCGACUUUCUGGUCUGUAACUGACACUGAGGCGCGAAAGCGUGGGGAGCAAACAGGAUUAGAAU